CAGUAGCCGCGGGAAUACGAAGGGGGCGAGCGUUGCUCGGAAUGACUGGGCGUAAAGGGCGCGUAGGUGGCGUGCACAGUCAGAUGUGAAAUUCCUGGGCUCAACCUGGGGGCUGCAUUUGAUACGUGCGUGCUAGAGUGUGGAAGAGGGUCGUGGAAUUCCCAGUGUAGAGGUGAAAUUCGUAGGUAUUGGGAAGAACACCGGUGGCGAAGGCGGCGACCUGGUCCAUUACUGACGCUGAGGCGCGAAAGCGUGGGGAGCAAACAGGAUUAGAUACCCCCGUAGUCCCUGUCUCUUAUAC
rnacentral:rRNA from 1 species